rnacentral:snRNA from 1 species
AUUGCUUCUCAGCCUUUGGGCUAAGAUCAAGUGUAGUAUCUGUUCUUAUCAGUUCAAAAAGAGUGAGGGGCUGCUUGCUUUGCACAGAGGCUCCAAGCAAUAUUUUGUCUGUUUGUUUGUAUUUUGUUAUUGUUUCCUACACAACAAAAUAAUCACAUCAUAU